GUUGCCAUAGUAAUCCUGCUCAGUACAAGAGGAACCACAGGUUCAGACAUUUGGUGUAUGUGCUUGGCUGAAGAGCCAAUGGGACAAAGCUACCAUCUGGGAUCUGGGAUUAUGACUGAAUGCCUCUAAGUCAAAGAGAGAACAGCAAC
rnacentral:ncRNA from 1 species